GACUAGAGUAGGGCGGGACACGUGAAAUCCUGUCUGAACAUGGGGGGACCACCCUCCAAGCCUAAAUACUCGUACAUGACCGAUAGCGAACUAAGUACCGUGAGGGAAAGGUGAAAAGAACCCUAAGUAAGGGAGUGAAAGAGAACCUGAAACCGUACGCCUACAAGCGGUCGGAGCACAUUUACUGUGUGACGGCGUGCCUUUUGCAUAAUGAGCCUACGAGUUACUGUUUCUAGCAAGGUUAAGUGUUUAAGACAUGGAGCCGUAGCGAAAGCGAGUCUGAAUAGGGCGUUUAGUUCGUUUGAGUAGACCCGAAACCGGGUGAUCUAGCCAUGGGCAGGUUGAAGGUACGGUAACACGUACUGAAGGACCGAACCCACGUCUGUUGAA
rnacentral:rRNA from 1 species